AGGUGAACCUGCGGAAGGAUCAUUACCGAGUGAGGGUCUCUCAGGCCCGACCUCCCACCCUGUGUUUUUGUGACCUUGUUGCUUUGGCGGGCCCGCCUCGACGAGAGGCCGCCGGAAGCUCACCGCUUUGGGCCCGUGCCCGCCAGUAGCCCCCUUAAAUUCUUAAUAAACCUGUCGUCUGAAUCCAUGAAUAUAAUAAAAAAAAACUUUCAACAACGGAUCUCUUGGUUCUGG
rnacentral:misc_RNA from 1 species